rnacentral:rRNA from 2 species
GAGUUUGAUCGUGGCUCAGAUUGAACGCUGGCGGCAUGCCUUACACAUGCAAGUCGAACGGCAGCACGGGAGCUUGCUCCUGGUGGCGAGUGGCGAACGGGUGAGUAAUGCAUCGGAACGUAUCCUGGAGUGGGGGAUAACGUAGCGAAAGUUACGCUAAUACCGCAUAUUCUGUGAGCAGGAAAGCGGGGGACCUUCGGGCCUCGCGCUCUUGGAGCGGCCGAUGUCGGAUUAGCUAGUUGGUGAGGUAAAGGCUCACCAAGGCGACGAUCCGUAGCAGGUCUGAGAGGAUGAUCUGCCACACUGGAACUGAGACACGGUCCAGACUCCUACGGGAGGCAGCAGUGGGAAUUUUGGACAAUGGGGGCAACCCUGAUCCAGCCAUGCCGCGUGAGUGAAGAAGGCCUCGGUU